UUUCCUCUGCUUUUUGAUCGCAAUUGGGACAGCAGGGGUCAACAAUCUGCAUUCCUCUUCUGGUUAAUAGUGAUCUUGUAGGAAUGUUGUUAUGAGCUGUAUUAACCAGAGGAAUUUUUUUAUUUAAGUCUGUUGUUGGAUCUCCAGAUUUGCUUGAAGAAACUAUUCCCCUCUUGCUCUCCCAGUAGCUGCUUAUAGGCCUUCAUUGAAGAAAUU
rnacentral:lncRNA from 1 species